ACCAAGGUAAAUAUCUCUUUCUUCCUUUCAAAUUUGUUUGGUUAGUGUUGGUUCUUCUCUGUUUCUCCUCCUUCUGUCAAUUUCAGUCCUUUCUUUGUUUCAAAAUCUAAUCUUACGCCGACUUUUAGCCAUUUUCAUUCAUCGGUAUGUUUGUGUUUUAUUCUUGACAAUGAUUGUACUUAGAUCCAGUAAAAAAAUUCCCGGAUAAAACACCUGGGCUGAAGUGUUCUACUUGAAUAAAGCUACACCACCGGAGAGAAGCCCGUGGUCGGAGGAGGAAAAAUAUAGGAUUUUGGGACGAUGACGAUGCACAGAAGAUGCAAAAUGACACAUUCAUUCUUGCACCAUUAUUUUAGAAGUCGGGGAAGUGCAAUCGGAGAAUGACAAUGAUAUAAAUAUACCGAGACAUGAUUAAGUUGUUUUUGUACAACUACCUUUAUUUAUAUGUAAUUAGUGGUCAUAAGAUUUAAAUUAUGUACUUUUAAUUUUGAACCCUCCUCGAAUCAUCUUAGCGAUAGGUUGUUUAUAAGUAUUUUUGUUGUAUACAGUCUAAAUUCUCUAAUCAUCAGGCAUUACUUUACAUAUUCUCUAAUUACUACUGUAU